UGCCUGUAUUUUUUUCCAUGUAUCCCAGGAGCUCCAAGGGACUCCAGGCAGGCUCUGCUGCUGCUCUGUAGGCACGUGGGACAGGAAAAGCAAACAGCAAGAUGAAACAGAGAGAGAUUUUUCCCAGGCCUCGGCGUUUCCUGCCCCAGCAAUGCUCCUUCUCCUGGGGACACGACUUAUGUUGGAGCUGCAGGGAGGCAAAGCUGCCUGGAGUUUGUGGAAUCACAGAAUAUCCUGAUUGGAAGGGACCCACAAGGAUCAUCAAGUCCAACUCCUGGCCCUGCAGAGGACAAGAAUCCCACCAUCCCUGGCCACUGCCAACCUCCAAAACUUUCUUUUCUUCCUUCACACCCUGCUGGUAAAUAAAGGAGCGUUUUCCCUAAAA